rnacentral:rRNA from 1 species
UGGGGAAUAUUGCACAAUGGGCGAAAGCCUGAUGCAGCAACGCCGCGUGAGUGAUGAAGGUCUUCGGAUUGUAAAGCUCUGUCUUUUGGACGAUAAUGACGGUACCAAAGGAGGAAGCCACGGCUAACUACGUGCCAGCAGCCGCGGUAAUACGUAGGUGGCGAGCGUUGUCCGGAUUUACUGGGCGUAAAGGGUGCGUAGGCGGAUGUUUAAGUGAGAUGUGAAAUACCCGGGCUUAACUUGGGUGCUGCAUUUCAAACUGGAUAUCUAGAGUGCAGGAGAGGAGAAUGGAAUUCCUAGUGUAGCGGUGAAAUGCGUAGAGAUUAGGAAGAACACCAGUGGCGAAGGCGAUUCUCUGGACUGUAACUGACGCUGAGGCACGAAAGCGUGGGUAGCAAACAGGAUUAGAUACCCUGGUAGUCCACGCCGUAAACGAUGAGUACUAGGUGUAGGAGGUAUCGACCCCUUCUGUGCCGCAGUAAACACAUUAAGUACUCCGCCUGGGAAGUACGAUCGCAAGAUUAAAAC